AGAAUCAACGCUGGCGGCGUGCCUAACACAUGCAAGUCGAACGAGAAAGUGGAGCAAUCCAUGAGUAAAGUGGCGACCGGGUGAGUAACACGUGACUAACCUACCUUCGAGUGGGGGAUAACCUCGGGAAACCGAGGCUAAUACCGCAUAACAUCGCAAGAUCAAAGCAGCAAUGCGCUUGAAGAGGGGGUCGCGGCUGAUUAGCUAGUUGGCGGGGUAACGGCCCACCAAGGCGAAGAUCGGUAU
rnacentral:rRNA from 1 species